rnacentral:rRNA from 1 species
AGUGAACGCUGGCGGUAGGCCUAACACAUGCAAGUCGAACGGCAGCACAGGAGAGCUUGCUCUCGGGGUGGCGAGUGGCGGACGGGUGAGGAAUACAUCGGAAUCUACUUUUUCGUGGGGGAUAACGUAGGGAAACUUACGCUAAUACCGCAUACGACCUAGGGGUGAACGCAGGGGACCUUCGGGUCUUGCGCGAUUGAAUGAGCAGAUGUCGGAUUAGCUAGUUGGCGGGGUAAAGGCCCACCAAGGGGACGAUCAGUAGCUGGUCUGAGAGGAUGAUCAGCCACACUGGAACUGAGAGGCGGUCCAGACUCCUACGGGAGGCAGCAGUGGGGAAUGUUGGACAAUGGGCGCAAGCCUGAUCCAGCCAUACCGCGUGGGUGAAGAAGGCCUUCGGGUUGUAAAGCCCUUUUGUUGGGAAAGAAAUCCAGCUGGCUAAUACCCGGUUGGGAUGACGGUACCCAAAGAAUAAGCACCGACUAACUUCGUGCCAGCCGCCGCGGUAA